UGAUCGUGGCUCAGAUUGAACGCUGGCGGCAGGCCUAACACAUGCAAGUCGAGCGGAUGAGAAGAGCUUGCUCUUCGAUUCAGCGGCGGACGGGUGAGUAAUGCCUAGGAAUCUGCCUGGUAGUGGGGGACAACGUUUCGAAAGGAACGCUAAUACCGCAUACGUCCUACGGGAGAAAGCAGGGGACCUUCGGGCCUUGCGCUAUCAGAUGAGCCUAGGUCGGAUUAGCUAGUUGGUGAGGUAAUGGCUCACCAAGGCGACGAUCCGUAACUGGUCUGAGAGGAUGAUCAGUCACACUGGAACUGAGACACGGUCCAGACUCCUACGGGAGGCAGCAGUGGGGAAUAUUGGACAAUGGGCGAAAGCCUGAUCCAGCCAUGCCGCGUGUGUGAAGAAGGUCUUCGGAUUGUAAAGCACUUUAAGUUGGGAGGAAGGGCAGUAAGAUAAUACCUUGCUGUUUUGACGUUACCGACAGAAUAAGCACCGGCUAACUCUGUGCCAGCAGCCGCGGUAAUACAGAGGGUGCAAGCGUUAAUCGGAAUUACUGGGCGUAAAGCGCGCGUAGGUGGUUUGUUAAGUUGGAUGUGAAAGCCCCGGGCUCAACCUGGGAACUGCAUCCAAAACUGGCAAGCUAGAGUACGGUAGAGGGUGGUGGAAUUUCCUGUGUAGCGGUGAAAUGCGUAGAUAUAGGAAGGAACACCAGUGGCGAAGGCGACCACCUGGACUGAUACUGACACUGAGGUGCGAAAGCGUGGGGAGCAAACAGGAUUAGAUACCCUGGUAGUCCACGCCGUAAACGAUGUCAACUAGCCGUUGGAAUCCUUGAGAUUUUAGUGGCGCAGCUAACGCAUUAAGUUGACCGCCUGGGGAGUACGGCCG
rnacentral:rRNA from 1 species